GGCGUGUGGAAGGUUUUGGGGUGUGGCUUCAGGUGAGUCUUCAGGAGGCUUCGUUAGGAUUGGGCAUGUUUGGGACGGAAGUGGUUCGGGACUGAUGGACAUAAGAAGGGUUUGGAGUGAGUCUGGAGACUGAGCCCAGCUGUGCUGUCCGCUCACAGGUCCUAGGCAACGACUGUCAGGAAGUUCCCAAAAUAAGUCACUCACAACCUCAUCGUCCUGGUAAUAAUCAGCACAGAGAACUUCUGUUUCUCCCGCACACCAAGCAAG
rnacentral:lncRNA from 1 species